rnacentral:rRNA from 1 species
CCGGUUGAUCCUGCCAGAGGCGACCGCUAUUGGAGUUCGAUUAAGCCAUGCGAGUAGAAAGAAAUUAGAUUCUUUGCAUACUGCUCAGUAACACGUGGAUAACCUGCCCUACACUGGGGGAUAAUCUCGGGAAACUGAGCAUAAUACCCCAUAGACCACUACGCCUGGAACGGUGAGUGGUUGAAAGCUUCGGCGGUGUAGGAUGGGUCUGCGGCGUAUCAGGUUGUAGGGGGUGUAAUGGACCUCCUAGCCAUCGACGCGUACGGGUUGUGGGAGCAAUAGCCCGGAGACGGAUUCUGAGACACGAAUCCGGACCCUACGGGAUGCAGCAGGCGCGAAAACUUCACACUGCAGGAAACUGUGAUGAGGGAACUCCAAGUGACUGCACAAUGUGUAGCCUUUUCUUGAAUUUUAAUAGUUCUUGGAAUAAGGGCUGGGAAAGACCGGCGCCCCCCGCCCGCGGUAAUACCGGCAGCUCGAGUGGUCGUCGCUUUUAUUGGGCCUAAAACGUCCGUAGCCUGUUUGGUAAAUCUGUGGGUAAAUCAAUCCGCUUAACGGAUUGAAUUCUGCAGAGACUGCCAGACUAGGGACCGGGAGAGGUAUGAGGUACUCUGGGGGUAGGGGUAAAAUCCUGUCAUCCUCAGAGGACCACCCUGUUGCGAAGGCGUCAUACUGGAACGGAUCCGACGGUCAGGGACGAAGCCUAGGGGCACGAACCGGAUUAGAUACCCGGGUAGUCCUAGGUGUAAACGCUGUGGAUUUGGUGUGUGGGGUCCGCAAUGGGCCCCAUGUGCCGGAGUGAAGAUGUUAAAUCCACUGCCUGGGGAGUACGGUCGCAAGGCUGAAACUUAAAGGAAUUGGCGGGGGAGCACUGCAACGGGAGGAGCGUGCGGUUUAAUUGGAUUCAACGCCGGAAAACUCACCAAGGCCGACUGUUAGAUGAAGAUCAGCGUAACGAGCUUAUUGGAUUAUCAGAGAGGUGGUGCAUGGCCGUCGUCAGUUCGUACUGUAAAGCGUUCUGUUAAGUCAGAUAACGAACGAGACCCGCAUCCUUAUUUGCGACCCUCAUGUCCGCAUGAGGCGCACCAUAGGGAGAUCGCUGGUGUGAAACCAGAUGAGAGCGCGGGCAACGACAGGUCAGUAUGCCCCGAAUGUCUUGGGCUACACGCGCGCUACAAAGGACAGGACAAUGGGAAGCCACGCCGAGAGGCGGCGCUACCCCGAAACCUGUUCGUAGUUCGGAUCGAGGGCUGUAACUCGCCCUCGUGAAGCUGGAUUCCGUAGUAAUCGUGUUUCAACAUAGCACGGUGAAUAUGCCCCUGCUCCUUGCACACACCGCC